GGACCCGCACAAGCAGCGGAGCAUGUGGUUUAAUUCGAAGCAACGCGAAGAACCUUACCAGAACUUGACAUCCCUCUGACAGGACUUUAAUAGGUCCCUUCUUCGGACAGAGGAGACAGGUGGUGCAUGGUUGUCGUCAGCUCGUGUCGUGAGAUGUUGGGUUAAGUCCCGCAACGAGCGCAACCCUUGUCAUUAGUUGCCAUCAUUAAGUUGGGCACUCUAGUGAGACUGCCGGGGAUAACUCGGAGGAAGGUGGGGAUGACGUCAAAUCAUCAUGCCCCUUAUGUUCUGGGCUACACACGUGCUACAAUGGUCGGCACAACGAGAAGCGAGACCGCGAGGUGGAGCAAAUCUUAAAAACCGGCCCCAGUUCGGAUUGUAGGCUGCAACUCGCCUACAUGAAGUCGGAGUUGCUAGUAAUCGCAGAUCAGAAUGCUGCGGUGAAUGCGUUCCCGGGUCUU
rnacentral:rRNA from 1 species